rnacentral:rRNA from 1 species
CCUACGGGAGGCAGCAGUAAGGAAUAUUGGUCAAUGGAGGCAACUCUGAACCAGCCAUGCCGCGUGCAGGAUGACGGCCCUAUGGGUUGUAAACUGCUUUAUUACAAGAGAAAACCCUACGGUACGUGUACCAGGUUGAUAGUAUUGUAAGAAUAAGCAUCGGCUAACUUCGUGCCAGCAGCCGCGGUAAGACGAAGGAUGCAAGCGUUAUCCGGAUUCAUUGGGUUUAAAGGGUGCGUAGGCGGACUGAUAAGUCAGUGGUGAAAUCUCUUUGCCUAACAAAGAAACUGCCAUUGAUACUGUCGGUCUAGAGUAUAGAUGACGUUGGCGGAAUAUGACAUGUAGUGGUGAAAUACUUAGAUAUGUCAUAGAACACCGAUUGCGAAGGCAGCUAACGAAACUAUAACUGACGCUGAGGCACGAAAGUGCGGGGAUCAAACAGGAUUAGAUACCCUGGUAGUCCGCACCGUAAACGAUGAUUACUCGUUGUUGGCGAGUAUAGANAGUCGAGCGACCGAACGACGAACGACGAGUAAGUAAGUACCGACCGUACGGGUACGGGUACGGACCCGGGACCCGGAACCGGUAACGGUAAACCGUAAACCGUAAACGGUAAAACGUUAAGGUACGGGACGGUACGGUAGGACGGUUACGGACCGGACCGGGACCGGACCGACCGACGGGGAGGGGUAGGGGUAGG